ACCAGACUCCUACGGGAGGCAGCAGUGGGGAAUAUUGCACAAUGGGGGAAACCCUGAUGCAGCGACGCCGCGUGAGCGAUGAAGUAUUUCGGUAUGUAAAGCUCUAUCAGCAGGGAAGAAAAUGACGGUACCUGACUAAGAAGCCCCGGCUAACUACGUGCCAGCAGCCGCGGUAAUACGUAGGGGGCGAGCGUUAUCCGGAUUCACUGGGUGUAAAGGGAGCGUAGACGGCCAAGCAAGCCAGGGGUGAAAGCCCGGGGCCCAACCCCGGGACUGCCCUUGGAACUGCUUGGCUGGAGUGCGGGAGGGGCAGGCGGAAUUCCUGGUGUAGCGGUGAAAUGCGUAGAUAUUAGGAGGAACACCAGUGGCGAAGGCGGCCUGCUGGACGAUGACUGACGCUGAGGCUCGAAAGCGUGGGGAGCAAACAGGAUUAGAUACCCCAGUA
rnacentral:rRNA from 1 species